rnacentral:lncRNA from 1 species
CCGGCUGCUUCCCAUUAGUGCUCCAUGGAAGCCACCGGGCCCAGCUGCUCUCAGGUCCAUGGUCGGCUGCUACCUCUGCCUGAGCCUCGGGCUCUGGGCUGAAGCAGCGUGCGAAGUGGAAAAUCUCGUGGACUUGUUUCUCUGAUCCAGCAUAGAGAUCUUUUAAGGGCACGGCCUCUUGCAGAUGUCGUAUGAGUGGAUCACAGCACGUGUAGUCUUAGAGGGACGCUUCCUCUCAGCAGAAUGCACCCGAGAUGCAUCCGGGUCAGCCCAGGCCCGAGCCUUGUCCUGCCUCUCGCUGAAUCCCAUUUUAGGAUUCAGCAGUAACACAGGUUCGGCCCGCUCGGGUGCAUGCAGCGACCAAGCAAGUCCCAGAAUGCCUGUUAGAACUCAUAGGGUUUCCCCCGAUCCAGGUGAAUUUCCCGAGGGAGGAGGGAGCCCUGCCUGGGCAGUGACUAAGCCACAGGUCCUACAAAGGAACUGUAAAGCUGUGGAUUCCUGCGUGGAUUCCUGCGGACCUCCUUCUAAGGGCCCUGAGGCAGACACACUGUGCUGGACGGGGAGCUGCAAAAGGAGUUCCAAGGAACGAAGGCACUGCUAA